UCGGUCACCCAAUCUACCCACCAAUAAUUAGCUAAUAACCUAGCUCACCCUAAUCGUCUUUCGAGUUACAAGAUGAGGAUGCAAGUUUUAAUAUAGUGGUUUCAAUUAUUAGUCAACUUGGUCAAUUUCUCAACACAAUAUUCAACCCGAAAAUCCUAAGAUCAACGAAUUAAAUUAAAUCCUAAGUCUAGGGGGAAUUUCUUCGUGCCUAAACCGCUGAAUUUAUUGACUAAUAAAAUAACCAAAACAUACCAACAUGCAAUAUCAAGAUCAGUAUCAAAGAAAAGUUAUGUAAAUCACAUCAAAUAACCAUAAUCAUGUCAAAAACGCAUUACAAUCCUCUAGUUCAUCUAAACCCAGGUAGCAUGAAAGAUUAGCCAAGAAUCAUAGUCGCUAAAAAGAAAUGAUAUCAAAUCUGAAAACACAAAGUCUUAACAAAAUUGAAUACUAAUAAAUAUCAAACCCGGACUUAAUCUUGAUCGCG
rnacentral:lncRNA from 1 species